AGCAACAGCAAUACGGCCGCGUGGCGCGUUGGUACACCCGAUCCCUCGAUCUCGAAAGUUAAGCAACGCGCGGUCCGGAUAGUGCUUGGAUGGGGGACCAACCAAGGACGUCCGGAUUGCUGUAGCCU
rfam:Branchiostoma floridae genomic scaffold BRAFLscaffold_272, whole genome shotgun sequence.